rnacentral:rRNA from 1 species
AGGGAAUCUUCCGCAAUGGGCGAAAGCCUGACGGAGCAACGCCGCGUGAGUGAUGAAGGUCUUCGGAUCGUAAAACUCUGUUAUUAGGGAAGAACAAGGAUGUAAGUAACUGUGCAUCCCUUGACGGUACCUAAUCAGAAAGCCACGGCUAACUACGUGCCAGCAGCCGCGGUAAUACGUAGGUGGCAAGCGUUAUCCGGAAUUAUUGGGCGUAAAGCGCGCG